AGCGAACGCUGGCGGCAGGCCUAACACAUGCAAGUCGAACGAACCUUUCGGGGUUAGUGGCGGACGGGUGAGUAACACGUGGGAACGUGCCUUUAGGUUCGGAAUAACUCAGGGAAACUUGUGCUAAUACCGAAUGUGCCCUUCGGGGGAAAGAUUUAUCGCCUUUAGAGCGGCCCGCGUCUGAUUAGCUAGUUGGUUGAGGUAAUGGCUCACCAAGGCGACGAUCAGUAGCUGGUCUGAGAGGAUGAUCAGCCACAUUGGGACUGAGACACGGCCCAAACUCCUACGGAAGGGAGGAGUGGGGAAUCUUGCGCAAUGGGCGAAGGCCUGACGCAGCCAUGCCGGGUGAAUGAUGAAGGUCUUAGGAUUGUAAAAUUCUUUCACCGGGGACGAUAAUGACGGUACCCGGAGAAGAAGCCCCGGCUAACUUCGUG
rnacentral:rRNA from 1 species